GUUUUAUUUUUAAGGAAUUGUUGAAGAAAUGUUGAAUUUCAUUUUUGCUGUUAUUUCUUUGUUGUUUUGACAGAAUCUGUCCCUCGUCUUUCAGCGUGGCUCUUACAUCUUGGGUUAGGUUCGUGACGUCAUCUGGAGCAUUUUCUUCUACUUUUCCUCUCUAAAUUUUACACGGAACAAAGAAGAAGACAGUAUGCAGCAUCAUUGGGAACAUACAAUAUGGGAGGUACUUUAGGUACGUCAUCAAGUCCAAUAGUAAACUUUCGAGUGGUGUUAUCAUCCCAAU
rnacentral:lncRNA from 1 species